rnacentral:snRNA from 1 species
GUGCUCACUGGGGUAACACAUAUACUAAAAUUGGAAAGAUACAGAGACUAUUAACAUGGUCCUUGUGCACUUCACUUUCGUGAAGUGUUCCAUAUUUUU